GAGAGUAUAGCUCAGUGACAGAGCGCAUGCUUAGCAUGCACGAGGCCCUGAGUUCAGUCCCCAAUACCUUCA
rnacentral:tRNA from 1 species